GAAGCCACGUAAGCGAUGGAAGACCUAAGAAGGAUCCGUACGGGAUUUGUGGGGAAAGUCGGACUCCCAGCUUUGAAAGGUCUGCUGGAUGACCUUUGGCAGCGCAAAAUGUUGAGUACCGAAGACAAGGAUACUGUGUUGGAGGACCAUACGAGCAGAGCGGACAGGGCUCGGUGUCUGAUCGACAUGGUGAUGGGGAAAGGGGAGAGAGCAAGUCUGGCGAUGAUUGAGUGUAUGUUGGAGAGGGACCGGGAACUAUACCUCACUCUGGGUCUGAUCCUUCCUCCCAGCCCUACUGAUCGUGUGGAUCUGACCUGAGGAGAAUAAAUGGUGGCUUCAGUCUUGAGGAAUGACGAAAGAAUUUUUAAAUGCUAUUAAUUCACAACAUUGUAUUCACUAAAUUGGUUUUAUUUCAAACGUUAGUUGUGAGACAUAUAUAUUCCCCUGUAAUGUGAGUUCAAAUGUCCUUGAUAAGAGACAUGAAAUAAAAUAUAGAAAUAAAACAUUUUAUAAAUCU